AUACGGAGGAUCCGAGCGUUAUCCGGAUUUAUGGGUUUAAAGGGAGCGUAGGUGGACGUAUAAGUCAGUUGUGAAAGUUUGCGGCUCAACCGUAAAAUUGCAGUUGAUACUGUAUGUCUUGAGUGUACAAGAGGUGGGCGGAAUUCGUGGUGUAGCGGUGAAAUGCUUAGAUAUCACGAGGAACUCCGAUUGCGAAGGCAGCUUACUAAGCUACAACUGACACUGAAGCACGAAAGCGUGGGGAUC
rnacentral:rRNA from 1 species